CCUACGGGAGGCAGCAGUAAGGAAUAUUGGGCAAUGGACGCAAGUCUGACCCAGCCAUGCCGCGUGGAGGAUGACGGUCCUCUGGAUUGUAAACUCCUUUUAUCUGGGGCGAAAAAAGGCCAUUCUUGGCAGCUUGACGGUACCAGAUGAAUAAGCACCGGCUAACUCCGUGCCAGCAGCCGCGGUAAUACGGAGGGUGCAAGCGUUAUCCGGAUUCACUGGGUUUAAAGGGUGCGUAGGUGGGCAGGUAAGUCAGUGGUGAAAUCCCCGGGCUCAACCCGGGAACUGCCGUUGAUACUAUCUGUCUUGAAUAUCAUGGAGGUAAGCGGAAUAUGUCAUGUAGCGGUGAAAUGCUUAGAGAUGACAUAGAACACCGAUUGCGAAGGCAGCUUGCUACAUGGUCAUUGACACUGAGGCACGAAAGCGUGGGGAGCAAACAGGAUUAGAUACCCGAGUAGUC
rnacentral:rRNA from 1 species